UACGAAGGGGGCUAGCGUUGUUCGGAUUUACUGGGCGUAAAGCGCACGUAGGCGGAUCGUUAAGUCGGGGGUGAAAUCCUGGAGCUCAACUCCAGAACUGCCUUCGAUACUGGCGAUCUAGAGUCCGGAAGAGGUGAGUGGAACUCCUAGUGUAGAGGUGGAAUUCGUAGAUAUUAGGAAGAACACCAGUGGCGAAGGCGGCUCACUGGUCCGGUACCGACGCUGAGGUGCGAAAGCGUGGGGAGCAAACAGG
rnacentral:rRNA from 1 species